rnacentral:lncRNA from 1 species
GUUGUUUUCAAUUAAUGUCCCAUUAAUUUUGUAUCAUUGUUUAUCAUAAGUCAGGGAUUUUGAUACCAUAUUACUUAAAAUAUCUCACAGAAUGAGAUUGUUUCAAAGAUAGAAAGAUUUUGGCAGAAGUUUUGCUUUAAGUACAGAUAAUUAAUUCUUUGUCUCAUUUGCAAUCUUACACCAAUGAUAAAUUUACUCACAAAGUGGUACCCCAACCCCAAAUAUAUCUCUUUUAAAAUUACUUCGAUAAAGAUAAUCCUAUAUUUUCAAAUGGUGUGAUGACUGAAAUUAGCAGUAAUCCUUCUAAAUCUUCAAAUCUACAUAAAUUUAAAAAUUUCGUUUCCACGCUUUAACUUAAGUUUUCCUCUUCAAAUUGUAUAAAACUCAAACAUAAGCGUGAGAGGGUUCGAAUUUGGACAGUGAGUCACUCGCCGUUCUGACGUUAUGCCCCUUUAGACUUUGUUCUCUAA